UACGUAGGGUGCAAGCGUUGUCCGGAAUUAUUGGGCGUAAAGAGCUCGUAGGCGGUUUGUCGCGUCGGCUGUGGAAACUCGGGGCUCAACCCCGAGCCUGCAGUCGAUACGGGCAAACUAGAGUGUGGUAGGGGAGACUGGAAUUCCUGGUGUAGCGGUGAUAUGCGCAGAUAUCAGGAGGAACACCGGCGGCGAAGGCGGGUCUCUGGGCCAUAACUGACGCUGAGGAGCGAAAGCGUGGGGAGCAAACAGG
rnacentral:rRNA from 1 species